AUAUAUACAUACAUAUGAAGUGAGUUGUAUCCAUACAAAUGCGCAUACAUGUGCACAACCAACUUUCGUUGCAGUUACUGAGAGGAUCCACACAUACACACAUACUCUCACACCAACUAAUGGCUAUGUUGAGUGAUUAUUGAGCUUUAUUGUCGUCAGUUGUUUUCAGUUGUUCGGGAAUUUCAGUUUGAUCAUAGAUGAUGCGCACAAUAUCUUGGAGUUGCAUACAUAUCAAUAAACAUAGAGAAUGUCUUCACUUAAGGCUAAUAUGAGGUGGUACUGGAUUAUUUUUAUUUUGCUUUAUAACAUACUAACUAUAAAAUUCUAUAAACGUUCUUAAAAAGAUGAGAUAUACAUAUAUC